GCUGGAGUACGGUAGGGGCAGAUGGCAUUUCCGGUUACGCGGUGAAAUGCGUAGAGAUCGGAAAGAACACCAACGUUCCCCGUGACACUGAGAGACGAAAGCUAGGGGAGUAGUCCUAGCCGUAAACGAUGGAUACUAGGCGCUGUGCGUAUCGACCCGUGCAGUGCUGUAGCUAACGCGUGAAGUAUCCCGCCUGGGUGGGCUGGGGAGUACGUUCGCAAGAAGGAAACUAAAAGGAAUGGACGGGGGCCUGUUUUCUUUGGUUUCAUUCGAUGCAAAGCGAAGAACCUUACCACUC
rnacentral:rRNA from 1 species